GAGUUUGAUCUGGCUCAGAUUGAACGCUGGCGGCAGGCCUAACACAUGCAAGUCGAGCGGUAGAGAGAAGCUUGCUUCUCUUGAGAGCGGCGGACGGGUGAGUAAUGCCUAGGAAUCUGCCUGGUAGUGGGGGAUAACGCUCGGAAACGGACGCUAAUACCGCAUACGUCCUACGGGAGAAAGCAGGGGACCUUCGGGCCUUGCGCUAUCAGAUGAGCCUAGGUCGGAUUAGCUAGUUGGUGAGGUAAUGGCUCACCAAGGCGACGAUCCGUAACUGGUCUGAGAGGAUGAUCAGUCACACUGGAACUGAGACACGGUCCAGACUCCUACGGGAGGCAGCAGUGGGGAAUAUUGGACAAUGGGCGAAAGCCUGAUCCAGCCAUGCCGCGUGUGUGAAGAAGGUCUUCGGAUUGUAAAGCACUUUAAGUUGGGAGGAAGGGCAGUAAAUUAAUACUUUGCUGUUUUGACGUUACGACAGAAUAAGCACCGGCUAACUCUGUGCCAGCCGCCG
rnacentral:rRNA from 1 species